rnacentral:misc_RNA from 1 species
UAAAAAAAAAAAAAAAAAAAUCUAGAAAUAUUUCAACAAUGACUUAGGAAUUGAACUAUCUGCAGCUUAGUUGCACUUCCGUUAAACCCCAGAAUUGCACAUUGCACAGCCAUCCAUCUCUAAACCAAAAAAAAAUUAGGUUUGAGGCAAGAUUAUUUUUUUAGAGGACUUCAACAUGGACCAAUACAUAGGUCAGCUCCAAUUCUCUCUGAUUCUGAAUUUAAACAGGAACUCUUUUCCCCCGGUAGCGAUCCAUGAACGAUCUAAUAAAAGGUUGUUGGAAGAACCAGCCAAGAAUGGGUAUCUUCUGAAGAAAGACUGCCAGUGUUGGCCAGAAGCCACUGAAGAGUACAACGAACCCAUAUGCUUCCAAAAUCAUGCCAAUAACUGGCCAUCCUACGACAACAAAGAAGAAGCCAGAACCAAAUGAAAUAGUUCCCUUAAAAUUUUGACGUUUCAUGAAGAACUGCAUGGUGGAUUUUGGCCCAAUGGUUAGACUCACUCCUGAGAUGAAGAGGAUAUUUCCCAUGGCAAGUAAUCCCUUGUCAAAGAAGAAAAUGAUUCCCAUGAAUGAGAAAAAUAUGCCAAAUCCCGUCAAUCCUAGCCCAAUCUUCUUGCGGUCAUUCAUUUCAAACGAAACCAUCUUGAUUUGAUUCAAAGUACUUGAUUACGUUCACUGAGACAAAAUCUGGAAGUAACGGAAGCUUGAAUUCUUCGAUUGAAAGCCUUCUAAUGACCUGCAAGAUGAAGAUUGAAUCGAAAAGAUUAAUUUAGCAGAAAAAAGAAACAGAAUAGAAACAAAGUGAGAGAUGUUGAAACAAAAGCUCUGAUUGGAUAGCAAGAAACACUUAGCCCUAGUUUCCUUCAUGUAAGUUUUCCAAGAAAUAUUUCUGAUCAACCAAACAGAACUGAAACCAUAGAGAGAUUGAAAGAGCAAGAACCUGCGAUGCGUGCUUGAGAGAGAAGAGAGAGACGCGAAGAGGAGAUGAGACGAG